rnacentral:rRNA from 1 species
CCUACGGGUGGCAGCAGUGGGGAAUAUUGCACAAUGGGGGAAACCCUGAUGCAGCAACGCCGCGUGAGUGAGGAAGUAUUUCGGUAUGUAAAGCUCUAUCAGCAGGGAAUAGAAAAGAAGGUACCUGAAAAAGAAGCCCCGGCUAACUACGUGCCAGCAGCAGCGGUAAUACGUAGGGGGCAAGCGUUAUCCGGAUUUACUGGGUGUAAAGGGAGCGUAGACGGAAAGGCAAGUCAGAAGUGAAAGCCCAAGGCUCAACCGCGGAACUGCAUUUGAAACUGUUUUUCUUGAGUAUCGGAGAGGUAAUCGGAAUUCCUAGUGUAGCGGUGAAAUGCGUAGAUAUUAGGAAGAACACCAGUGGCGAAGGCGGAUUACUGGACGACAACUGACGGUGAGGCGCGAAAGCGUGGGGAGCAAACAGGAUUAGAUACCCUGGUAGUC